rnacentral:rRNA from 1 species
UUUAUUGGAGAGUUUGAUCCUGGCUCAGGAUGAACGCUGGCGGCGUGCCUAAUACAUGCAAGUCGAGCGAAUGGAUUAAGAGCUUGCUCUUAUGAAGUUAGCGGCGGACGGGUGAGUAACACGUGGGUAACCUGCCCAUAAGACUGGGAUAACUCCGGGAAACCGGGGCUAAUACCGGAUAACAUUUUGAAUCGCAUGGUUCGAAAUUGAAAGGCGGCUUCGGCUGUCACUUAUGGAUGGACCCGCGUCGCAUUAGCUAGUUGGUGAGGUAACGGCUCACCAAGGCAACGAUGCGUAGCCGACCUGAGAGGGUGAUCGGCCACACUGGGACUGAGACACGGCCCAGACUCCUACGGGAGGCAGCAGUAGGGAAUCUUCCGCAAUGGACGAAAGUCUGACGGAGCAACGCCGCGUGAGUGAUGAAGGCUUUCGGGUCGUAAAACUCUGUUGUUAGGGAAGAACAAGUGCUAG